UCUGUUAGACAAAGUGCACAGUUGGGUGCCAGACUGAUCCCCUGGUCUUGAACAGAUGCCAGGACCUACCACAAGGAGAAGGCCCUUCCAGUAAACACCACCUCAUAAGAUAACCUGCUGCAGUUGUUCAAGAUGUCCCGUUUGCAGCCAAACAUGCAGCAUAGAGAGGACCAGCAAGGGGGCGCUCAUCAGAAUCGUGCAGACAUGCCUUCACCACCAGUGUCUUUGAUGAGGGGCCAGGAUCUGAUCUACGCAGCCAUGCCAUCAAUGGGGCUCUGACAAAGACCUCACCUCUUGCCUGCUCACCAACAGUCGUCGAUGGGGAGAAUAGAAUUAGAAACAUGUAUGGAGUCAGCACAUGGAGACUUGCAAGAUGAUGUGAUGAAGUCCAGACUGACAGAAUGGCUUGAUACGGAUGCAUCUGAAUGGAGAGACCUGGCACUCAGCAUAAACAUUUUACUAGACACAACUUUGACUUGUGCUGUCAAUUAUUGAAUUAAAUGCUAUUAGUCAA